AGAGUUUGAUCCUGGCUCAGGACGAACGCUGGCGGCGUGCUUAACACAUGCAAGUCGAACGGGCACUUCGGUGUCAGUGGCGAACGGGUGAGUAAAGCGCAGGUAAUCUGCCGCAAAGUCGGGGACAACGUUCCGAAAGGGACGCUAAUACCGGAUGUUGUAAGUGAACCGCAUGGUUUGCUUAUUAAAGAUUUAUCGCUUUGCGAGGAGCCUGCGUCCGAUUAGGUAGUUGGUGGGGUAAAAGCCUACCAAGCCGACGAUCGGUAGCCGGUCUGAGAGGAUGAACGGCCACAAUGGAACUGAGACACGGUCCAUACUCCUACGGGAGGCAGCAGUGGGGAAUAUUCCACAAUGGGGGAAACCCUGAUGGAGCGACGCCGCGUGAGUGAAGAAGGGCUUCGGCUCGUAAAGCUCUUUUCUCAAGGACGAAUUAGUCUUCGGGACAGUUGACGGUACUUGGGGAAUAAGCCACGGCUAACUACGUGCC
rnacentral:rRNA from 1 species